CUCACUGCCCACCCGGAGCGGAGCGCCCAGCUCAAGGGCGGAGCCGCGCAGCCGCGCUAGGGAACCGCGCGCAGGUUCAACAGACCGUGGACAACUGCUCCUCGCCUUCCCCGCAGCGCUGUGGUCUUCUGCGCCCGAACAGGGGCAACGGGACCUGCGUCACUGGCUACCUGGGCUGGGGACAGGGCUGGGUAGAGCCUGACAUUUCGGAAUGUCAGGGCUCAGGGAGCCAGACUCUCAAUCCGAGUGUCCAUAACUCACCUGUAGCCCAUUAAUGACGCUUCGGCCUUUCCUCUGACCAGCUCUUCUGGGUUCUGAAGCCUACCACUGGUCUACCCCACUAAGCCUCCACAGCCAUCUUAAACAGGAAUUUCCAGAAGGCAUUCAGGACUUUGGGUUUGCUGGAGGAAAAGACUUUCUCCCUUGGACCAGAAAAUUCUAAAAGGUUCAUUCAUUUUGUGUCAGUAGACUCGAGCUGCAGCAUCUGCUCUUUCCUGGGUCCCCAGAGAUUUGGACUUGCCAGCCUUCACAAUCAGCAAAAGCCAUGGAUCACGCAGCUAAGUGGAAAACACCACUACUGAAGCACCCAUAUCCCAAGCUCUUUCCGCUCUUGAUGCUAGCUAGUCUUUUUUACUUCUGUUCAGGUAUCAUCCAGGUGAACAAGACAGUGGAAGAAGUAGCAGUACUAUCCUGUGAUUACAACAUUUCCACCAAAGAACUGACGGAAAUUCGAAUCUAUUGGCAAAAGGAUGAUGAAAUGGUGUUGGCUGUCAUGUCUGGCAAAGUACAAGUGUGGCCCAAGUACAAGAACCGCACAUUCACUGACGUCACCGAUAACCACUCCAUUGUGAUCAUGGCUCUGCGCCUGUCAGACAAUGGCAAAUACACCUGUAUCAUUCAAAAGAUUGAAAAAGGGUCUUACAAAGUGAAACACCUGACUUCAGUGAUGUUAUUGGUCAGAGCUGACUUCCCUGUCCCUAGUAUAACUGAUCUUGGAAAUCCAUCUCAUAACAUCAAAAGGAUAAUGUGCUUAACUUCUGGAGGUUUUCCAAAGCCUCACCUCUCCUGGUUGGAAAAUGAAGAAGAAUUAAAUGCCAUCAACACAACAGUUUCCCAAGAUCCUGAAACUGAGCUCUACACUAUUAGCAGUGAACUGGAUUUCAAUAUGACAAACAACCAUAGCUUCCUGUGUCUUAUCAAGUAUGGAAACUUAAUAGUAUCACAGAUCUUCAACUGGCAAAAAUCAGAGCCACAGCCUUCUAAUAAUCAGCUCUGGAUCAUUAUCCUGAGCUCAGUAGUAAGUGGGAUUGUUGUGAUCACUGCACUUACCUUAAGAUGCCUAGUCCACAGUAAGUACUAUCGUACUAUCAUUCUGACCUUGAUUCCUGGAAGCCCAAACUCCAUCAGUAUGGGUCAGCGUCUCUCUGAGGUUUUAGCCUCGGUUAUAGCCUCCUCCCGUUUUAUGGAAACUUUAGUGUCUCAUUUAUGUGUCUCACCAAGUUCUGUUCAUCCACUGGACAGACGUUUCUCGGACACCUACUAUGUGCCCCGUUCUCUACUAGGCACUGGAGUUACAAGUAUGAGCAAUCACUCCCCUCAAGACACAUUCUAGUUUAGUCCUUUUAUUUCCCCCCCUAACUUUAUAUUUUCUUGGAGAUGCUGAGGCCUGCUAACUAAUUUGAAGACAUUUCUGAUGCAAAGUGAUAUUCUAAUCUUUGAUUUUCAAUUGGAGAAAGUCAGAAUGCCAAGGUUUGGGGCUAAGACUCAUCCCACAGGUAGGAUAAAAAGGUCUGGUGGGCUCAAGGAUGAUUUUGAUACAGACUGCCCAGCCUUACCCCUCUAGUUCAGGAUUUCCCAUUCUUAAUACUACUGACAUUUGGGGCCAGAUAAUUCUUUGUUUUAGGGUUCUGUUCUGUGCAUUGUAGCAUAUUUAGCAGCAUCUCUAGGCUCUACUCACUAUAUGCCAGUAGCAUCCCUGCCCCAGUUGUGACAACCAAAAAUGUCCCUAUUACAUUACAAAUGUUCCAGGGAAGGUGUGGGGGGAGGGGGUGGUUAGAAAUCUCCCUGGUUUAAGAACCACUGACCUAGUUCUAACCCAGCAAAGGCUUGCUGAGAUAUAUGGGCACCAUUUAAGGGAAACUAACCUAUCUAAAUCUUUAUUGUUUGUGCUUGUUUUCAAGGACCUGCUGCAAGGUGGAGACAAAGAGAAAUGGGGAGAGUGUGGAAAUGGAAAAGAUCUCACCUGUCUACAUAGAUUCUGCAGAACCACUGUAUGAGCAGAGCAUCUAGAGGUCCCACCUCCAUCUUAGAUUGACCUCUUUGAAUUUCCUCAGAUGGCCAGGAUUAUCCCACCUUGUACUUCAUGUAUCUGUUUCCUAGGAGCCUCUUCAUUUCAGUGGCUCUGCAGAAAGUGACUAGUGGAAUACAGUGGGAACAUUAGUAGCUCUGGUAGGCUUGGUCAAAGAAUUUAGAAACACAGAAUUGGUUGAGCCUGGAAGAGACAUUUGAAAAUACUUGUUAAUGACAAGGACAUCAAGGCCCAGGAGGUGACCUGAAUGAUCAAGGCCAGAGCCAGAACCCAGAUUUCCUGUGUCUGGUGCUCUUUUCCAUCAUCAGUCUGGGUCUGUGGUAUUAACUGGUGUAUAUAUACAUACACACCAGUCACAACGUUUCUGGAAAAAGAAUUUGUCCAAUGUCAGGCCAACUUUAUGGACUUGAUCUGAUGCAACACUGAAGGACUUUAUGUUGUAAAAAGCAAUCUGAUGCUAAUGUGUGGGUAGUAUGCUGGUAUGUAUACCAAUAUGAGGAUGAUGGAACAUUGUCUAUGUGUAGCCAGUAUUUCAUUUUUCUUUGUGCUCUCCUCUGUUGCUCUCCCACUUCUCUAUCAGGUUCUGGAGAAAGACCUAUCCAAAACUAAUAUCCUCUAACAUGUAAGAUGAAUGACUUAUACACUUCAAAACAAUAGCCAGGUUGGAGAGGGAUAGUCACAUCCUACUGGUUCAUAUUGGACUGAUAAUCUCCUUAAAUGGCUUCAUGUUGUUUAACCUCAUUUAUAAAAUAUUUAUGAGAAAGUUCUCAUUUAAAAUGAGAUAGGUUUUUAUUGUGUAUUACUAAACAGUAAGCUAUCUUUAGAAAUUGAGGUAAUGAAAGUAGCAUUCCAUAGGGCUUCCUCAGAUCACUGAAGUGGCUUUUCCUCCUUGGCAUUUCUGAUCCUUCUGAGAUCAGCAGAGAAUUGAAAAGUGGCAAACUGCUACUCCUGUGUUACUUACUCAUGACUCCCCUUUCUCUGACGUUGCCUUCCACAACUCAGUGGACCAGGAAGUGGUCCUUGGUCCUAACUUAAGCUGGAGGAAUCAGAUAUUCUCAUUUGAAAAUUUGAAGUUGGAUAGCAAGUUGACCAAGUAUCUCAAAUAUGGCUAGAUUUAAAACAUUUAAUUUUGGUAGCUAUAAGAGGACUGAAUUAUGCUAUAUAGUCUAAGAAACAGAAGUACACUUUUAAAUGGUUGCUCUCAGAACAAAAUCAUGGAAGAAAUAAAAGUAGGAGACUGACAAAAACUUUAAGAAACAAAAAAAAGGGAGUUGCUGCAUUUGGUUAAGAUUAGUAAUCUUUAGACAUGAUCAAAAGGAGACCUCAAGAAGUAGUCACAAAACAGAAGACACCUAAAAGAGCUUAUUUAUAUUUAAAAUAAGUUAUAUUGUUACUUAUUACAUUUGAUAAAUGUGUCAGUACUAUUUUUUUCAAAAAGUGGUAUUUUACCUUCAUUCUGGUAUUUUUGUGAUAUUAAAAAAAUAUUUUAAAAACCAACCACUAGUUUUAUAAUUUCUAGUUGGGAGAAUUUAAUCUAUAUGUGUAUAUGAAUAAAGCAAUAAAGAGAUUAACUGCCAAUUUGUCAGCAAUUUAUGAAUAGGAUAAUUAAGAAAAACAGGUUUUACGGAAUGUGGUGAGAACAU